rnacentral:rRNA from 1 species
AUUGAACGCUGGCGGCAGGCUUAACACAUGCAAGUCGAGCGAGCGGCGGACGGGUGAGUAAUGUCUGGGAAACUGCCCGAUGGAGGGGGAUAACUACUGGAAACGGUAGCUAAUACCGCAUACCAUCAGAUGUGCCCAGAUGGGAUUAGCUAGUAGGUGGGUUAAUGGCUCACCUAGGCGACGAUCCCUAGCUGGUCUGAGAGGAUGACCAGCCACAAUGGAACUGAGACACGGGCCAGACGCCGACGCGAGGCAGCAGUGGGGAAGAUUGCACAAUGGGCGCAAGCCUGAUGCAGCCAUGCCGCGUGUGUGAAGAAGGCCUUCGGGUUGUAAAGCACUUUCAGCGAGGAGGCGUUACUCGCAGAAGAAGCACCGGCUAACUCCGUGCCAGCAGCCGCGGUAAUUC